CAUGAUGCUCUUCAUGAACGGCGUCGUGGAUUCGGCGUGAACGAAGACGGUUCGUGGAUUCGGAUCGUGAGCUAGUGGAUUCGAGUGGGCGUCGUGGAUUCGACGUGAUCGAGGCUUCGUAGAUUCGAAGUGGUGACGUUUCGUGGAUUCGGGACGUGGCGUUCGUGGAUUCGGACGUGGGGCGUGGAUAACCCGUUGGUGUGCGCGAGAUCCGGAGAAGAUAGAAGAGAGGUUUGAGUCCGUGGAUUCGGUAAAUUACCUUGUAAUCUUUUAUUCUUAGUGGAUUGUUAUCGCGUGUUGGUCCCGUGGGUUUUUU
rnacentral:lncRNA from 1 species